rnacentral:rRNA from 1 species
AUUGAACGCUGGCGGCAUGCCUUACACAUGCAAGUCGAACGGCAGCACGGGAGCAAUCCUGGUGGCGAGUGGCGAACGGGUGAGUAAAGUAUCGGAACGUGCCCAGUCGUGGGGGAUAACGUAGCGAAAGUUACGCUAAUACCGCAUACGAUCGAUGGAUGAAAGCGGGGGAUCGCAAGACCUCGCGCGAUUGGAGCGGCCGAUAUCAGAUUAGGUAGUUGGUGGGGUAAAGGCUCACCAAGCCGACGAUCUGUAGCUGGUCUGAGAGGACGACCAGCCACACUGGGACUGAGACACGGCCCAGACUCCUACGGGAGGCAGCAGUGGGGAAUUUUGGACAAUGGGCGAAAGCCUGAUCCAGCCAUGCCGCGUGCAGGAUGAAGGCCUUCGGGUUGUAAACUGCUUUUGUACGGAACGAAAAGGUUUGGCCUAAUAAGCUGAGCUCAUGACGGUACCGUAAGAACAAGCACCGGCUAACUACGUGCCAGCAGCCGCGGUAA